GCGUAGAGUCGCAAGGAGUAGACCCGAAACCAGGUGAGCUAGCCAUGGCCAGGGUGAAGCGGGGGUAAUGCCUCGUGGAGGCCCGAACUGGUGUAUGUUACAAAAUGCUCGGAUGAGCUGUGGCUAGGGGUGAAAUGCCAAACGAACUUGGAGAUAGCUGGUUCUCGCCGAAAUAAUUUUAGGAUUAGCGUCUCACCGUUUAAUCCCGGAGGUAAAGCACUGAUUGAGGUAGGGGCCUACCCGGCUACCGAACUCAUUCAAACUCUGAAUACCGGGAUUCCAAGGGGGGCAGUCGGACUACGGGAGAUGAGUUUCGUGGUCGAGAGGGAAAGAACCCAGACCGUCAGCUAAGGUCCUGAAGUGGUGACUAAGUGGGAAAGGAUGUGGAGUUACUGAGACAGCCAGGAGGUUGGCUUAGAAGCAGCCAUCCUUGAAAGAGUGCGUAAUAGCUCACUGGUCUAGUGAUUCUGCGCCG
rnacentral:rRNA from 1 species